GUUUGAGCAUCACCAUGAGUGUCAGACAUGGUGGUGUUGUCACAGAACCAUGGAAUGGUUUGGGUUGGAAGGGACCCUAAAGAUCAUCUCAUUCCAACCCCCCACCAUAGGCAGGGACAUUUCCAAGUAGAAGGAAUCUGGAAGAGCAGCAAAAAUUUGUUUUUCCAAGGAAUCUGCAGGCGAUUUUACCCUCUGGAACAUGAAGGUCUGGAAAGGCUGCCACUCUUGAUUUGGCCCUUGGCUCCAUGACCUGCAGAUCAGGACAGCAUCAAACCAGACCGUGUCCUACCAACUCCUGCUGUGCAGAUGUAUAUGAUGUCAUAGAAUCUGUUGCUUCCUGAGUUCCCUGGUUUAGUGACCAACUUUAUUCCCAGAGCUCUUUCUAGCAGCUACAUGUGUAAGAACCACUGGCAGGAGAGGAAAUGCUAAUGAGGAGGAGGCAGAACGAUGAGCACUGAGGAAUAAAAUGCCAUUUCACACCAA